rnacentral:rRNA from 2 species
UGGAAGUAAAAGUCGUAACAAGGUCUCCGUUGGUGAACCAGCGGAGGGAUCAUUACCGAGUUUACAACUCCCAAACCCAAUGUGAACGUUACCAAACUGUUGCCUCGGCGGGAUCUCUGCCCCGGGUGCGUCGCAGCCCCGGACCAAGGCGCCCGCCGGAGGACCAACCAAAACUCUUAUUGUAUACCCCCUCGCGGGUUUUUUUAUAAUCUGAGCCUUCUCGGCGCCUCUCGUAGGCGUUUCGAAAAUGAAUCAAAACUUUCAACAACGGAUCUCUUGGUUCUGGCAUCGAUGAAGAACGCAGCGAAAUGCGAUAAGUAAUGUGAAUUGCAGAAUUCAGUGAAUCAUCGAAUCUUUGAACGCACAUUGCGCCCGCCAGUAUUCUGGCGGGCAUGCCUGUCCGAGCGUCAUUUCAACCCUCGAACCCCUCCGGGGGGUCGGCGUUGGGGAUCGGCCCUCCCUUAGCGGGUGGCCGUCUCCGAAAUACAGUGGCGGUCUCGCCGCAGCCUCUCCUGCGCAGUAGUUUGCACACUCGCAUCGGGAGCGCGGCGCGUCCACAGCCGUUAAACACCCAACUUCUGAAAUGUUGACCUCGGAUCAGGUAGGAAUACCCGCUGAACUUAAGCAUAUCAAUAAGCGGAGGA